GCCCUAUGGUGGAGGAUAACCCCGGGAAACUGGGGAUAAUACUCCAUAAGUCAGGAGUACUGGAAUGUCUCCUAACUGAAAGUUGCGGCGCCAUAGGAUGAAUCUGCGGCCGAUUAGGUAGUUGUUGGGGUAACGGCCCAACAAGCCCGUAAUCGGUACGGGUUGUGGGAGCAAGAGCCCGGAGAUGGAAUCUGAGACACGAUUCCAGGCCCUACGGGGCGCAGCAUUUUUGCCCACUCUUUUAUGCAGGAAACUGUGAUAAGGGAACCCCGAGUGCCCGUAAACGCGGGCUGUCCCGGUGUUUAAAACACAUCGGAAGAAAGGGCCGGGCAAGACCGGUGCCAGCCGCCGCGGUAAUACCGGCGGCUCGAGUGGUGACCACUUUUAUUGGGCUUAAAGCGUUCGUAGCUUGAUUUUUAAGUCUCUUGGGAAAUCUCACGGCUUAACUGUGAGCGUCUAAGAGAUACUGGGAAUCUAGGGACGGGAGAGUAGAGUACUUCAGGGUAGAGU
rnacentral:rRNA from 1 species